GAACUACUCUCUCCGUCCGGAAAUACUUGUCAUCAAAAUAAAUAAAAGGGUAUGUGUCUUGAUGUAUUUUAAUUCUAGAUACAUUUCUUUUCGUCCAUUUUGAUGACAAGUAUUUUCGGCUGGAGGGAGUAUUUA
rfam:Triticum aestivum genome assembly, contig: Triticum_aestivum_CS42_TGACv1_scaffold_603867_7DL